ACUGAGCAAAGCUGAACUGAGUUUCUGGUCAACGAAGUGGGACACCAAGUGUUGGAUUGCACCCUGGCAAUUCUUUUAAGAGAUGGCAGCCUGGAAACCUUGCUCCUUCCACUUUAUUGAGUCAGACUGAAAUACUGUCUCAAUCACCUCCAAAUAUGCAGAGGUUAGCUGCCUUUGAAAAUGUUCAAAAUUGCAGGAUGGCAUUGUUGAGGUCAAGAAGGCCUGCUAAUUUAGACUGAUCUUCAUCCAUGAUAUAGUCUUCAGCAUAGACAAGCUCGUCCUCAAAGGAAA